UGGAGGUUGCAGAAGUUGAAAAGCCUACAAAGAUGGGUGAAAGAAUGAGCAUGGCUUUCUGAUGGUGGUGGAAAGAUUUUUGGGUGUUUUGGAUCGAAAGAAGUGGCGUUGACAACAGUCAGCGUUUGCGAAACAAUCGAGGCGGAUGAUUUUGAACUAACUUGGCUACACCACAAGCAAAUAACUUAUCAGAUGAAGAGAUAGUUGCUAUAACAAAAAGAACUCAAGAUGGUGGCACGGAGGUUGUGGUGGCAUAGGCUGGAAAGGGUUCAGCUACACUCUCAAUGGCGAACAAUAUUUACUGAUGCAUGUUUGAAAGGACUUAAUGGGUCCCAUAUGUUAUGGAAAGCUCAUUUGUGCAAUCAAAUGUAACCGAACUACCAUUAUCUAAGCAAGCCCGUGGAACCCGAUUGGCUGUAUGAUUGUCUAGCCAAUUCUGGCAUCAUCAGGAUCACCAGAUCCGAGUGGCAAGAACCCUUCUAAUAGCCAGACAGGUCCCACCAUUGCCGAAAAAAGUUGUUUAUAAUCCUCUGGUUCUCAUACCACCAAGGGUUCUGCCCUUGCUUCAUGAUUUAGCUCAACAUAUGGCGCAUGCUGGUCACACUUAGCAGUCUUUGAUAAUUUACAGGUAGCCCAAGCCUGCCCCAGUUUAACCCGUACAAAAAUAUCUGCUAUGCCCUGAACCAGUUUUAGAGGAAUGUAUUGAGGCCCAACAAAUACUCUCUCCAUGCACCAAAUAU